GGGCUGCUAGCUCAACUGGCAGAGCAUCCGGCUCUUAACCGGGGGGUUCGAGGUUCGAGUCCUCGGCAGCCCA
rnacentral:tRNA from 1 species